UGGGUACAGAGCAAGACUCUGUCUUGGGGGAAAAAAAAAAGUAAGAGAUGGUGAUUGGUUGGAUAUGGGAGAUAAAGGAAAGAUUUAAGUUUAACUUCUGACUUCUUAUGGCUGAAUACUACCCACUGAAUGAAGAUCUGUUUAGGGAAAAGAUAAAGGGUUCUGACUUGGACAUAUCUAGUUCAAGGUUCCUAGAUCAUAUCUUAGUGAAUAUACCCUGCAUAAAACUCAUGGGUAAUGUCUAGAUUGGAGAAAAAAUAGGAGAAAAAUCAUCAGAUCACCCAAAGAAAGUGUGCAGAAUAAGUAAAGUUGUGGACCAAGGAUUAAAACCUUGGGGAAUUCUAACAUCAAGAAUGAAAGCACACACGGAAAAAGAAUCUAAGCUUCAUGAAGGUGGAUUUUUGUUCAUUUUAUUUACUGUUAUGGCUCCAGCUGUUCUUACUAUAUGAUGACUUCUGGAGUGAUCAGAAAAUUUUCCAGUCCAUAAACUUGCCUAUUGGAGGGGAAGGAAAAGAAGGGCCCUGCAUUCUAAGAUUUCAUAUUGGUAGGGAUGAUACUGGCUUUUUAUUUGCCAGUUCUACAUAAACAGCUAUCAGAUUAUUAUAAAUUUAAGCAUGCUAUUGUCUACAUCUAGAUGUAUUGAACUAAAAGGAAGACACCAGUAAAAAGAAGUGGAGUCAUAUUUCUUACCUCUUUGUGCUUCGUAAGAGGUGCAGAAACACAAGAGAUCCAUGGAACAUUGUCUUUCAACACUUAUACCUUUUGAUAAUAACACAUUUAUUUUGAUUAAUUUUAAUAACUCACAUGUUCAGAUGAAGACAAUAUCAAAACUUGAAAUUUUAAGCUCAGCCUAACAUAUUGAUUACAAAGUCAUCAAUCUGAAACAAUCAGAAUUAUAGAAGUCACCAUAGUGGCUUAGGCAAUGAUAUGUUUAAAAUGGCAUGUGGCUAAUGAUAUAAUGGCAUAUCUUCAUUAAUAUUUGGUAGCAACUGGAUUGCCACAAAAACAUGUGAGGACCCUUUUUCUGUUGUAUUGUCAUUCUUUUACACCGGAAAAAUUACUCUGCUGUUUUCUAAGAGUCAAUCCUGGAGUGACGUGAGUAGCAGAAUGCCAAGUCUAUGAGUCACGUGAUAACUACUGGACAUGCACAUGAGAAUAUGACGAGGAUGGUGCCUUAGAAUGGGGAUUCUCAAUCUGAGGUAACAAUGGGAACAAUUACCAUAUAACUAUUCAAGUGUUUAACUAGCCAGUAUUUUAAAAAAUACCUACUACAUCCUCAGCAUAGUCACUGAAGAAAACUAGGGAUCCAAGAAAAUCAUACCAUUUAAAAAUAAUUGGUAAGUAUGCUAUUUAGCAUGAAAAAUUAGUUUGGACACAUUAAAUGUUCUAGCAAUUUAGAGGAGAGGUUUAGCGGGCAGAAUUCGAGGAGGAGCUGGAGUAAGGGGAGUAUUGCGGGGUGUAUGGUCACUAAGA
rnacentral:lncRNA from 1 species